CCUANGGGAGGCUGCAGUAGGGAAUAUUGGACAAUGGGCGAAAGCCUGAUCCAGCCAUGCCGCGUGGAGGAUGACGGCCCUCUGGGUUGUAAACUCCUUUUAUCAGGGAAGAAAAAGCAGGACUUGUCCUGAACUGACGGUACCUGAGGAAUAAGCACCGGCUAACUCCGUGCCAGCAGCCGCGGUAAUACGGAGGGUGCAAGCGUUAUCCGGAUUUACUGGGUUUAAAGGGUGCGUAGGCGGGUUGAUAAGUCAGUGGUGAAAUACCCGAGCUUAACUUGGGAACUGCCAUUGAUACUGUCAAUCUUGAAUUUGGUAGAGGUGGGCGGAAUAUAACAUGUAGCGGUGAAAUGCUUAGAUAUGUUAUAGAACGCCAAUUGCGUAGGCAGCUCACUAUGCCAACAUUGACGCUGAGGCACGAAAGCGUGGGUAGCGAACAGGAUUAGAUACCCUGNUANUC
rnacentral:rRNA from 1 species